AAAACAAAUAGGAAAAAAGAGAGGGAGACAAACCAAGAAAACCAAGAAAAAGACUUUUAACUAUAGAGGCCAAACUAAUGGUUACCAGAUGGGGGUAAGGGGAUGGGGACUAAGAAUACACUUAUCAUGAUGUGUUGAGCACUGAGUUAACAUGUAGAAUUGCUGAAUAGCUAUAUUGUACACCUGAAACUACUAUAACCCUGUUAACUAUACUGUAAUUAAAAAUUUAAAACGUAAAAGUCUCCACUUCUAUAGAAAACUCUCCUGUUAUUUGCUGUGGGAAGAUGAGGUACACGAGGUACACAGGGGUUUCAGUAAAAGGUACCAAGUGUAACCUCUUUAGGGAGUACAUUUUUCCUCCAUAUUUAUGCUGUCAGGGAUUCUUCUAGAACAGGAUUUAUUAGCCUGGUUCCAUAUAUGAAUUUGAAGGUGUUCUUCAGCUCCCUGGCAUUGUACACACAAUUUUAUAUAUGCAGAAUCCUCAGUGGUGGUCUUAACAGAGUUUGUCCAACUUUACUGUGCAGAGAAUAACUCAGUAAGGCUACAGAAUCACUUUCACUGGAGUCUCCAAAAAGAUUACUAUAAAUUCAAGUUACUAUAGAUCACAGAUUUAAUAUAAGCUCACGGAUUACUAUAAACCCACAUCUCCUAGACCAGAUUUAUAUUAAACAGGAGAAAUAGCUGAGCAAAAGAAAAAUGUCAUUAGAUACUGAAAAUGUUUCCCACAUCUCCUGUUCCUUCAGGUCCUGUGGUUCCAGGCCAUCGGUGGGAAGUAUGACGAGGCCUGAGAAAUAACCAUUGUUAUUUCCAAGGCUGGUGAGAAUGCCAAUACCUAUAGAAAUUCAUCCAAUCAAAGGAAAAGGUUUCCACUCACAAUCUUCUCACGAUAUUCACCAAUCUAUCUGAAAAUAUCCACGGAAAGUGAAUUUAUACUUGAAAAGAUUUCUGAAAUGAAACUUAUGCUAGGUCACCUUCAGGUUUCCCAAUGGCUGCUAAAGUUGUCUGGAUGCAUUAUCGAUUGUAUGUACCUCAUGACUAAACAUUACUUGGAACAUUAUUCAUUAAUCUUGCAUAAUCAAAUGGAAUGGGAAAUGCCUAGAGGUUAUGUAUCUGUGACCUGCACAUUGUAACAUGGAAUUCCCUAGAAAGAAUACCUCUCUGGGAAUCUUCAGACAAAAAGGCAAUCAAAUUAACUUAUUACUCUAUUGUUGAAAUAAGUUAGAGGUGAGAAUAGUAAUUCUCUGGUAGUUUUUCCACUAGUGAUCAGGAAUGGGCUUGCACAGCAGCCCUACCACAGAGAGAAAAGCAGGAAUGUAUCCACCUGUAGUGUUUUGAAAAGUCUUCACAGUACAAUUAGAUUUAAAUCUUUACGGUAAACUUAUAGGUGCAGCAACAUCAUGUCCAAAAUGCAAAGCCCUUAUCCAUGAAUCAACAUGUGCUAUCCCACUGACCAUCCUCCUGUUCUGAGAAUCAAAGUAUCCACUUGAGAAACUCUCACAUUACAGGGUCACACUCAGAGUUGGAAAAUACGGGUUCAAAUCUCAACUCUGACAUUACAAGUGCCAUCAAGUUAGCCAACUUUUCUGAGUCUAGAUUUUCUCUGUUAAUGUAAACAGGUCAAACUCUUAACCAAGGCUGUUGUGAGGAUGAAAUGAGAUUAAGAGCAACCAAGAACACAACCUACUUAUGAAAGUUUGGCGAGUCCAAGUAACAGUUUCUUCAUGUAAAUGGUCGCUUUGAAGAGAGAGGAGAUUCCGAGCUACCUGUGAAGGAGAUGCGUUUGGAGGUUGCAGGAGAAUCUGUCAGCUCCUUCUCUGCCUGGCUGGACGACGCUGCAAGAAAAAGCAGAAGAUGCGAUAUAGCAGCCAGGCCAGGCCAGCUCCCAGAGGGUUUGUGUUGGGUGAAAAUCAACAUUCAUUUAUAGCACAGGAUUUUCUUGAAACACCAAAAUUCAAGUAGGAUGAGCAUCCGGGCUGACUUCUCAAGCAUGCUGGAAAAGAAGCAAGUGUUCCUCUUUCCUCACUAAGGAAGAAAGAUAAAGAAAUGGACUAAAAUGCUCUGAGGUAGAUUAAUCUAAAUUCAGUGUACUGACCUCCCCCAAACAACACACAUCCUGCUGGCCCAUGGAGGGCAGUAGGGUUGAGAGUGGAUGGGAGAGUCUCACCAGUUGCUCUGCCGACCACCAGUCAACUUGAGUACCAGACACACUCUGCACAGAGGUGAUCAACUAUGUGCUCCCACCUUUACUGUUCCAGUGCUUGGAAUCACAGCACAGCACAUCACAGGAGACCCAAUAAAUGUGACCUGAGAAAGGUUCACACAGAUAUCUGCAUACAAAUACUUGGGGGGAAAAAAAUCAAGUUUGGGUUUAGCAACCUGCUUUGGGGAAAAAGUAAUUGGAGAAUGGAACAGGUAGGACAUGAAUCCAACUUAUAAUCUAGCCAAUGCUCCAGGCACCAGUGUUUGUCUUCAGAGUGGGUGGUAAGGGGGAAGGUCUCUCUGCUUACCCAAAACAAACCCAUUCUACCAAAAAAAAAAAAAAAAAAAAAAAACACUAAUUAGUGAGGAGAG